GCCGUAUAGUACAGAUGGUAAACGAUUUGCCCCACAGCUGUAGUUGGUGACGCUUGGCUUAUUUCGACCUGUUUACCUGUUUGAUUUUUACAACAUCACUGUGUAGGAAAAGGACUGGCUAACACAAAGUUUCAGAAAUGUCCGGUGAAGUAGUCACGACACAGCCGGCGUCCGUGGCCGAUAUUGACCUCCAGGAUGUCGAUGAUGAUAACGGCGGUAGCAACUGCAUAUCGUGUGACAUCUGCUCGUGUUCGUGUUGCCAAUGUGAUGACGGCGGCGGCGACUGUAGCUGUGACUGCAUAGGUCAUUGCAUAGGCGACUGUUUAUGCGGGUUCUUAAACUGUUUUGACUGUGACAUUUGACACUAGUUAACUAGUAACUACACGUGUAUCUUCUGCAGCCAAAGGAAACUCGGUGCAAGCAUAUUGUUUAUGAACAUCAAGUUGAAUGUUUGUUUCAACUAUAUAACCUUAAAACUGAACUAUAGUAGCUACACGUGUAUCGUCAUGAAUAUUCAGAAUUUCAGGGAUGUAAUUCGUCUGCGGAUUUGCUCAGGGACAAAAAAUGGAGAUAAAACAGAAACAUAUAGAUACACUUAACGUUAUUUUAGAUUGUAUUCGUAUUUGUUUUAGAUGGUAUUGAUUAUACGUACGAAUGCCCACAUUUCACGAACAAUCUUAAGCCGCUAUUUACAAUAUAACCAUUUUAGUGUGUGUUUUUGUAUUAAUUGCGUAAUAUUUUCCUUGAUAAUUGCCAAGAUAACCACGAUAUUUGUUAGAUAAAGUUUAUAUGUUAAUGAGGUUUAUGAUAAUGUUAAAAUAUUUUAAGAAAAUGGGAUUGACCAUCAACACUAAACACAAUCUGUAAACAAAGUCACAUUUUACAUGCAUACAUUUGACAUACUCACUUUUGAACACAAAAAAUAUUUUUUCGAUGUAUUUUUUAUGAAUUUUUGUAUGCUUACAUUUAUUGUUUAUGUACAUAUAAAUAAAUUAGAAUACCUUCUUGUUUUU